GCCGGAAUGGCUCAGUGGUAGAGCAAGUCAUUGGUAAUGACUAGAUCGUGGGUCCGAUUCCCACUUCCGGCUCUA
rnacentral:tRNA from 6 species